CAGAGGGUGCAAGCGUUGCUCGGAUUUACUGGGCGUAAAGCGUACGCAGACGGUGAGAAAGGUCGGAUGUGAAAGCCCCGGGCUCAACCCGGGAACUGCAUCCGAAACCAUCUCGCUCGAGUAUGGGAGAGGGAAGCGGAAUUCCUGGUGUAGAGGUGAAAUUCGUAGAUAUCAGGAGGAACAUCUGCGGCGAAGGCGGCUUCCUGGCCCAUUACUGACGUUCAGGUACGAAAGCGUGGGUAGCAAACAGGAUUAGAUACCCUGGUAGUCCACGCCGUAAACGAUGUGUGCUGGAUGUCGGGGGUAUUCACCCCCUCGGUAUCGAAGCCAACGCGAUAAGCACACCGCCUGGGGAGUACGGCCGCAAGGUUG
rnacentral:rRNA from 1 species